AUUGAACGCUGGCGGCAGGCUUAACACAUGCAAGUCGAGCGGUAACAGAGAUAGCUUGCUAUCUGCUGACGAGCGGCGGACGGGUGAGUAACGCGUAGGAAUCUACCUGGUAGUGGGGGACAACAGUUGGAAACGACUGCUAAUACCGCAUACGCCCUACGGGGGAAAGGAGGGGAUCUUCGGACCUUUCGCUAUCAGAUGAGCCUGCGUCGGAUUAGCUUGUUGGUGGGGUAAUGGCCUACCAAGGCAACGAUCCGUAGCUGGUCUGAGAGGAUGAUCAGCCACACUGGGACUGAGACACGGCCCAGACUCCUACGGAGGCAGCAGUGGGGAAUAUUGGACAAUGGGCGCAAGCCUGAUCCAGCCAUGCCGCGUGUGUGAAGAAGGCCUUCGGGUUGUAAAGCACUUUCAGAAGGAGGAAAG
rnacentral:rRNA from 1 species